ACACACACACACACACACACACACACACACACACACACUCCCUGAUACAAGCUCAGAACGUCUCCCUCCCUCUGGCUUUGAGAAACCUCUUCGGGGGGAUAUGGAGAGACCCGCCGUCUCCCAAAUGCUGCUGUGUUUGGUGCACAGACUUUGGCUCCCUGUCCUGAUUGGCUGCUGGCUUUUGAACUGGAUUGAUGAACUGCUUCAUUGUGUUGGAGGGACUUGCCCCUUUUCUUUCCUUUUGUAAAUCAGUUGAUAUAUAAAGCAAUGCAUUCGCCUCUCUCGCAUUCUGACUGAUCACCUUUUACUGGGCACCAAGGACAGUAUUAUUUAUUUGUCCUUUGACCUUAUGACAUCAUCACAUCCAUCUAGCUCUACCCAAGUCCAUCUCUGUGAUGUCAUGUUUUCCUAAAAAGAAAACUUUUAUCCAAAUAGAUCUGACAGGAACUACUUCUUCUCCUCUCUGCUUGUCAUGUCUGGUCCAAGCAGACUUCGAACACAUGAGGACAGACUAUGUUUUUAACCUGCACUUGGAUUGCUUUUUUCAAGGUCUAUGUCAGGCAAUUUUUAAAAACAUCAUGUUUUGUACACGUGUUUUUGCCGUUUUCCCAUCUUUGAAAAGCCCCUUAAACAAUGCAUGUUUAGCUGAAUGAAAUUUAAGAUAUUUGGUGAGAGAUCUGUCUGAUUUAACUGUAGAAAAUGCUUAGGACUCAGGGCAGCCACCUCUGUAGGUAGUAAGCUCGCUCUGCUCUGCACCCCAACAGCGGAAUUCAGCAGAUUGACUGCUUAUACUGUGGAACACAGUCAUUUUCAACCCAUCGACAGGGCUCAAACCUGCUCAUUACUGGUUCUGUUUGACAUGCUAAUACUCAAGUCUGUGACUGCAUGAACAGAAGUGACUUUUAAGAACCCUCUAGCUGAUUUAAUUUAUUUUAUUUUAUGCUCAGAAAAAAACAAUAUAUUAAAAUAUACUAUGUUUUUGAGAAUGUACCAUGUUAUACUGUGAUAUAACUGAGAUAUUUUAUUGUAUUCAGUCAUCCUUUGAAUUCUAUCAUUUAUCUAUAAAGAAAUAUAUAUGUACAAAUAAAUAUAUACAUAUAUAUAUAUACAUGCAGGUAUAUAUAUUAAAGUUUGGUAUAUUUGGAGGAAGUGUUAGAUGAAAUAGUUCUAAAUGUUUUAGCUUUGUAGCAAUUCUAGACACUGAAAUCAUUUUUGAAUUUUGAUUCCUCCUAUGACUGUGAAGACAUUAGUGCCUGUGACAAAAAAGACAAGUAAAAGUCAAAACUCAAUUCAUCUGUAUCUACUCUAUCAGUCUAUCACUCCUCUUGUACUACCUAACAUUAUUUUUUGACACUUUUUGCAUCAGUAUCGUUCUCUCAUGCAGCCUCUCUUACUUUUGCUCUCCUCUUGCAACUCUCUGCCUUUUUUCUCAUUAAGCUAUGAACAUACUCUACAUUUUCUAUGCUGUAACAACAUCUCCAUUAAUUAACUCAUCCAUUGACCCUUGAUUUUUUUUCUAUGUUCAAUUUCUUUUUAAAUCUGCUCACUCCUGUCUCUCACUUAGCAAAAAAAAACAGAGACCAGUAGAUACUGUGUUCUUGCUCCGUUUGAUUGAUUGUUGCUGCUGAUGAUCAAUUAAUUGACUGGUGACAUAAUUAAUGAAAAAUGUUGCUGUU